rnacentral:rRNA from 1 species
AAUAGAUACCCGGGUAGUCCACGCCCUAAACGAUGCAUAUUUGGUGUGGGCAGUUCAGUCUGUCCGUGCCGGAGCUAACGCGUUAAAUAUGCCGCCUGGGGAGUACAGUCGCAAGGCUGAAACUCAAAGGAAUUGACGGGGGCCCGCACAAGCGGUGGAGCAUGUGGUUCAAUUCGACGCAACGCGAAGAACCUUACCUGGGCUCGAACGGCUGGUCAACGGCGGUGGAAACACCGCUACCCCGCAAGGGGGUCCAGUCGAGGUGCUGCAUGGCUGUCGUCAGCUCGUGUCGUGAGAUGUUGGGUUAAGUCCCGCAACGAGCGCAACCCUUGUCCUGUGUUGCCAUCAUUCAGUUGGGAACUCGCAGGAGACCGCCAGGGAUAACCUGGAGGAAGGUGGGGAUGACGUCAAGUCCUCAUGGCCUUUAUGUCCAGGGCUACACACGUGCUACAAUGGACGGUACAAACCGCAGCGAACCCGCGAGGGGAGCCAAUCGGAAAAACCGUUCUCAGUUCGGAUUGCAGG